rnacentral:rRNA from 1 species
UACGGAGGGUGCAAGCGUUAUCCGGAUUCACUGGGCUUAAAGGGCGCGUAGGCGGGUUGGUAAGUCAGUGGUGAAAUCCCCGAGCUUAACUUGGGAACUGCCAUUGAUACUAUCAGUCUUGAAUACCGUGGAGGUCAGUGGAAUAUGUCAUGUAGCGGUGAAAUGCUUAGAUAUGACAUAGAACACCAAUUGCGAAGGCAGCUGGCUACACGAAUAUUGACACUGAGGCACGAAAGCGUGGGGAUCAAACAGG